rnacentral:lncRNA from 10 species
CAUCCUCCAUCACUACCACAACUGUAGUUCCCUGAACAUGUGUGUUGUCUUUAUGACAGUGUGAUUAUGUAUGCAAAUUUCCUCUCCCUAGAGUACCUUUCUAUGACUUUUGUCAAAACUAAUAAUUAUUGACAAACAUCUAAUAUUAACCCUAUAAGGUAGAUACUAUCAUUAACUAAAAUUUAUAGAUGAGGAAUACAUACCAAUUUUUUUAUGUAGAAAUUAUUAUGAUUAUCAUUAGUUUUGGCAUAAUAUUUGAAAGGAAAAGGACCAGUCCAGAAAUUUAGGCACUCAGAGGUUACACUGACUAUCUGUUAAUCAAAAUGUAGGUUGAAGCUGUACGUAGUGCAGAUGUAUGGAAGUUAGUGACAGAUUCUGAUUAAAAAAUUAAUUAAAAUACAUUAAUCAUAUGAGCAUACAUUUAAAAUGUCAUAAUAUAAGCAA